GGGUUGUGAGGUUAAGCGACUAAGCGUACACGGUGGAUGCCCUGGCAGUCAGAGGCGAUGAAGGACGUGCUAAUCUGCGAUAAGCGCCGGUAAGGUGAUAUGAACCGUUAUAACCGGCGAUUUCCGAAUGGGGAAACCCAGUGUGACUCGUCACACUAUCAUUAACUGAAUCCAUAGGUUAAUGAGGCGAACCGGGGGAACUGAAACAUCUAAGUACCCCGAGGAAAAGAAAUCAACCGAGAUUCCCCCAGUAGCGGCGAGCGAACGGGGAGGAGCCCAGAGCCUGAAUCAGCAUGUGUGUUAGUGGAAGCGUCUGGAAAGGCGCGCGAUACAGGGUGACAGCCCCGUACACAAAAGCGCAUGUGUUGUGAGCUCGAUGAGUAGGGCGGGACACGUGGUAUCCUGUCUGAAUAUGGGGGGACCAUCCUCCAAGGCUAAAUACUCCUGACUGACCGAUAGUGAACCAGUACCGUGAGGGAAAGGCGAAAAGAACCCCGGCGAGGGGAGUGAAAAAGAACCUGAAACCGUGUACGUACAAGCAGUGGGAGCACCCUUC
rnacentral:rRNA from 2 species